ACGGGAGGCAGCAGUGGGGAAUAUUGCACAAUGGGGGAAACCCUGAUGCAGCAACGCCGCGUGAGUGAUGAAGUAUUUCGGUAUGUAAAGCUCUAUCAGCAGGGAAGAUAAUGACGGUACCUGACUAAGAAGCUCCGGCUAAAUACGUGCCAGCAGCCGCGGUAAUACGUAUGGAGCAAGCGUUAUCCGGAUUUACUGGGUGUAAAGGGUGCGUAGGCGGCAUGGCAAGUCAGAUGUGAAAGACCGGGGCUCAACUCCGGGGCUGCAUUUGAAACUGCCAGGCAGAGUACAGGAGAGGCAGGCGGAAUUCCUAGUGUAGCGGUGAAAUGCGUAGAUAUUAGGAGGAACACCAGAGGCGAAGGCGGCCUGCUGGACUGUUACUGACGCUGAGGCACGAAAGUGUGGGUAGCAAACAGGAUUAGAUACCCUGGUA
rnacentral:rRNA from 1 species